rnacentral:rRNA from 1 species
GACGAACGCUGGCGGCGUGCUUAACACAUGCAAGUCGAACGAAGUGGCGAACGGGUGAGUAAUACGUGGGUAACCUGCCCUCCUUUUUGGGAUAAGCCUUGGAAACGGGGUCUAAUACCGAAUAAAGGGGGAUGGGCUCGCGGCCUAUCAGCUUGUUGUUGGGGUGAUGGCCGACCAAGGCGACGACGGGUAGCCGGCCUGAGAGGGCGAGCGGCGACAUUGGGACUGAGAGAGGGCGCAAAAUCCUACGGGAGGCAGCAGUGGGGAAUAUUGCAGAAUGGGGGAAACCCUGAUGCAGCAACGCCGCGUGCGGGAUGACGGCCUUCGGGUUGUAAACCGCUUUCAGCCAUGACGCGGUAGUGGCAGAAGAAGCACCGGCUAACUACGUGCCAGCCGCCGCGGUAAUUC